UGGAGCUCUGGGGGGAGAAGAAAAGGAGAAAAAGAAAAAAAAAAAAACAACAAUGUUAAUAUGUUUAGUUAUAGUAUGUCUGGCACUGCAAAAAGACCCUAGAAGAGACUUACUCAUGGUCAGGUGAUAUCAGAUGUAGAACAUUCUCACUACUCUUGCCUGCAGCCAGAAACAAUCACAAGUAUGUUACGACAAGAAUCAGAGUAAGAGCAAAAAAAAAAUACAACCGGUGCUUAGUUGUGUAAGUGAAAUCGAUGCAGAAGAAAGAAUACCGCCAGCGCCGUCGAUGCAGAUGGCACUUAGCUGCUCGCCGAACGUCACUUCGUUGAUGCUCUCUAUACAAACACACACGGAGAGUGUUACACAAAGACGAGGAUAACCGACAGAGUACAAACUGUUCAUGUGCAGGUUUACCUGAAGACAUUACACUGCGGGAAGGUCUCUGUCCCACAGGGGUCAGAAUUCCAGCAAAGAUUUCAGGGUGUUUGAGGGUCUCUGGGCAGACUGAAGUGGCAGAGGUGUGGCUCUGACGCCUGGGGCUGGAGAUACAGCGGCGCUACCCUGAACAUACACGGGACAUAUAGCAUCAGGGCAUGAGGUUGUACUCAACUUCUGCAGCCAGCUGCUCAUCUGCUGCAAAGAGCUCCUUCACCUCAGAGCGGUAGUCCUGCAUGGUCACCUAACACACACACACACACACCCACCCAUCCUAAAUCCCUGUCUCAUUAACACCAACUAAUCUACCAUUGUUUAUUCCCUGUGAGCUUUUACCUGCAGGAACGCCAUGAGGUGUUUGAGCACGGGCAAGCGCUUCUCCUCGAGCAUGUUCUUCAGGGCGAUGACCAUGGGGAUUACGUUCUCCACAAAGUUCUUUUUCUGCACCUGUUCGAACGGAACACGCCCGAAAUUUAACCACAGACCUGAGAGCAGACUUCCUGCUGUUCCUGCAGUUAAAUAUGGGAGCUAGGGCAGGCUAAGCUGAUCCUGGACCAGUUUUAAAGGGUUGUGGUGUCAUUUACAUGUUCACUCUGUGUGUGUGUGUGUGUGUGUGUGUGAGAGAGAGGACUGCAACCUGAGAGA